UUCUCCUAAAACACUAUAUUUGCUCUCAACCAUCUCAAGCAGACAAAGAAAAUUUUGAUUUGUGAAGGCAAAUUUGGAUGCAACCCACAUCAUCCCCUGUUUACGAAUUUGACAAGCACAGAUUUUGAAGAGAGGUUGAGGCAGUAAGCUAGGAAGAGCUCACAGCAAAAGCUUGAGCAAAAAUUUGGUAUUUUUGCUUGUAUCUAUAAUAUGUAUAUCACGGGGUUGCUGGCGUAGUUGGAUUUACAUAUAUUUAUUUAUUUUCUUGUCAUUUGUAAAUAUAUACUUCCCUGUUUUUGCUGAGUGCAUAGGUACUAUUUUCAUUUGCUAAAAAAAAUGAUAUGCCUGUUCAAGUUUAAGAAAUGUUGAUGUCUGCCUAAAACAAAGAACCUUAAAUUUUGGUAUUUAGAUUGUCAUUUUGUAUGUAAUCAUCAUACUUAUUUCCACUUAUGAACUA